AAAGAGAGACCGAGAGAAAAGAGAGACAGAAAAAUAGAGAGGUAGAGAACGGAGAAGGAGAGAGAGAUCGAGAGAUCAAAAACUGCAGUUUGCAAUCAAGAAUGAAAAGAUGUCUCUCCCUUCCUGUUAGAUUUUCUGCCAUCAUCGUAAACCUUCACUCGCUACCCGACCCUCAAAAUCGUUACUGAAUGGUAUUUUGGGUCAGAUUUGGUUUUGAUUAAGGGAUACGAAGAUAGAGGAACCAAGCAGAGUUCGUAGCGAUACAGAGAAAGGGAAGGAGAAAAAAAAAAAGAUUGCGGCAAGAACGAAGAGGAGUCAUACCCCGCCCAUUACGACAUGCUUUUGAUGGAUUGAACACCAUAAUGGACAUUAAUGUUACACAAAUUAUACCAAGGAGACCACGUGAAGUACAGGAUGGAGAACUUUCCUUGCAUAAUGGAAAAUCAAUAUCUUAAAUAAAGGACUUGGAGUGGAACUUAGAGACAAAGGUAUCAAAGGAUACAUGUCCAAGUAGAAAGUAAAACCGAUUCAACAACAUUCAUUUCGUUUGACAAAGCGACUGAGAAAUUUGUAUCUAAGAUUGUAAAAGAACUUGCAGAGAUAUAAGCAGAGCUUAUAAACCUGCUGAAGAUGGAAAAUGAGAAGAUGAUAGCAUGCUUAUUCAAAUGCUUCACAAACGAAACAAUGCUACUAAACAAAAUGCAUCAAAGAAGAAGAAAAAUUGAAGAAGGAAAAAUAGCAACUACAGAAUUCAAUUUAAUUUUCAGUUUUUGGUUUUCCUCCUAACUGUUCUACUAUUUUUAAAGAGGGAUUGAAAUUGUGGAACUUUGAAAUCUGAAAGUGUAAUGUUAUUUAUACAAAGUUGAUUAUUUCAUAGAUUUUAGUCAAUAUUUCACCCUAUCUGCAUAAUUACUAGGGUUAGCUACUUUAAACUUUUAUUUUAAUGGUAGACAAUUGUAGAAAAUGUAUUUUGUUGUUGUAAUUUUAUGGUUGCUGGUGGGUGAAUUUUCAAUAAUAAAACAAUGAAUGUGAUUGCUAUUAAGUUGACAAGUUUUUAGUGGUAUCAUCUUAAUAUCUUUUGGUUAAUUUUUUGUUUAUAGUUUGUGAAAUUUCUAUUGCUAUGACAGCCUUGCAGCUAUUCUUUGAUGAUAA